rnacentral:rRNA from 1 species
AUUGAACGCUGGCGGAAUGCUUUACACAUGCAAGUCGAGCGGCAGCACGGGGGCAACCCUGGUGGCGAGCGGCGAACGGGUGAGUAAUACAUCGGAACAUGCCCAGUCGUGGGGGAUAACACUUCGAAAGAAGUGCUAAUACCGCAUACGUCCUGAGGGAGAAAGCGGGGGAUCGCAAGACCUCGCGCGAUUGGAGUGGCCGAUGUCAGAUUAGCUAGUUGGUGGGGUAAAGGCCUACCAAGGCAACGAUCUGUAGCUGGUCUGAGAGGAUGAGCAGCCACACUGGGACUGAGACACGGCCCAGACUCCUACGGGAGGCAGCAGUGGGGAAUUUUGGACAAUGGGGGCAACCCUGAUCCAGCCAUUCCGCGUGAGUGAAGAAGGCCUUCGGGUUGUAAAGCUCUUUCGGCAGGAACGAAACGGUGAGCUCUAACAUAGCUUGCUAAUGACGGUACCUGAAGAAGAAGCACCGGCUAACUACGUGCCAGCCGCCGCCGUAAGAC